GAUGAACGCUGGCGGCGUGCCUAACGCAUGCAAGUCGAACGGAGUCCAGCCUUUAAGACCUUCGGGUCAAAGAGGGGAAGACUGAGUGGCGGACGGGUGAGUAACACGUGGGCAACCUGGCUCAUAGAGGGGGAUAACAGAGAGAAAUUUCUGCUAAUACCGCAUAAGCACACACUGCCGCAUGGCAGAGGGUGAAAAGAGAAUCGCUAUGAGAUGGACCCGCGUCUGAUUAGCCAGUUGGCAGGGUAAGAGCCUACCAAAGCGACGAUCAGUAGCCGAUCUGAGAGGAUGAACGGCCACAUUGGGACUGAGACACGGCCCAAACUCCUACGGGAGGCAGCAGUGGGGGAUAUUGCACAAUGGGGGGAACCCUGAUGCAGCGACGCCGCGUGAGUGAAGAAGUAUUUCGGUAUGUAAAGCUCUAUCAGCAGGGAAGAUAAUGACAGUACCUGAAUAAGAAGCCCCGGCUAACUACGUG
rnacentral:rRNA from 1 species